CGAUAUCAAUAAGCGGAGGAAAAGAAAAUAACAGUGAUUCCCUUAGUAACGGCGAGUGAAGGGGGAAAAGCUCAAAUUUUAAAUCGGCGCAGGUUCUACCUGGUCGAGUUGUAAUUUGAAGAAGCGUUUUCCGCGUCCAGGUUGGCCCAAAUCCUUUGGGAUAAGGUAUCAUGGAGGGUGAGAAUCCCGUCCGGCUGACCUUCAGGACGUUUUACGAUACGCUCUCAAAGAGUCGAGUUGUUUGGGAUUGCAGCUCAAAAUGGGAGGUAAAUUUCUCCUAAGGCUAAAUACCGGCGAGAGACCGAUAGCGAACAAGUACCGUGAGGGAAAGAUGAAAAGAAUUUUGAAAAGAAAGUCAAACAGUACGUGAAAUUGUUGAAAGGGAAACGAUUGAAGCCAGUCGUACCGACGGGAAUUCAACUUCUCGAGUGCUAAUCGUGGGUGACGUUGAGCCUCACGGCCUUCGUUGCUUGUGUUUUUGGUGCUUUUGGGGUGUACUUUUCCGUAUUGGUAGGUCAGCAUCGAUUUCGAUCGUCAUAAAAUGAUCGGGGGAAUGUAGCUUCGGUCUCGUAUCGGAGUGUUAUAGACCUUGGUAGAUGUGACGAUUGGGAUCGAGGAUUGCAACGAAUACCCUCUGGGCUAUCCGUCUGACCUCUGAAAGUCGCUCGGGUGUCGAAAGCGUGCUUAUGGCUAUUCGAGUUGGCGGUCAAUAGGUUAGAACGUGAUUACAUUCGUUAAGGAUGUUGACGUA
rnacentral:rRNA from 1 species